rnacentral:rRNA from 1 species
UCAAGCUCAAAAGGGCACAUGAUGAAUGCCUUGGCAUCAGCAGGCGAAGAAGGACGUGAUAAGCUGCGAUAAGCUCCGGGGAGCGGCAAAUACGCUUUGAUCCGGAGAUGUCCGAAUGGGAAAACCCAGCGGGGAUAAUGCCCCGUUGACGGAGUCUGAAUCCAUAGGGCUCCGCCGCCAACCCCGGGAAGUGAAACAUCUCAGUACCGGGAGGAAAAGAAAACAACAGUGAUUCCCUCAGUAGUGGCGAGCGAAAGGGGAACAGCCCAAACCAACGCACUUGUGCGUUGGGGUAGCGGGACCUCGAUGUGGGACUCCAAUGGAUAGCGGAAGCCGGUGGAAAACGGCGCCAAAGAAGGUGACAGGCCUGUACGCGAAAUCCAAAGGGGCCCUAGAGGCAUCCCAAGUAGCACGGGACACGUGAAACCCCGUGUGAAUCCGGUGCGUCCACGCACUAAGGCUAAAUACUGCUGAUGACCGAUAGUGAACUAGUACCGCGAGGGAAAGGUGAAAAGAACCCCUGCUAGGGGAGUGAAACAGUACCUGAAAUCAUGUGCUUACAAGCUAUGGUAGCCUGCCGCAAGGCGGGUGGCCGUUUGCCUUUUGCAUAAUGAGUCCGCGAGUUAUUGUUGGCAGCAAGGUUAAUCCGCCGUCGGCGGAGAAGCCGAAGCGAAAGCGAGUGCGAAACGUGCGUUCAGUUGCCGGCAAUAGACCCGAAGCCGGGUGAGCUAUCCAUGGGCAGGUUGAAGUCGCUGUAACAGGCGAUGGAGGACCGAACUUAUGAGGGCUGAAAACCUCUAGGAUGACCUGUGGAUUGGAGCGAAAGACUUAUCAAACUCGGUGAUAGCUGGUUCUCCUCGAAAUAACUUUAGGGUUAGCCUGCACGAAUGCUCGCCGCGGAGGUAGAGCACUGAAUGGACUAGGGGCCUUACCGGGUUUCCAACGCCAAUCAAACUCCGAAUACCGCGGCAGUCACGUGUGGAGAUAGACUGUGGGGGAUAAGCUUCAUAGUCAAAAUGGAAACAGCCUAGACCGCCAGUUAAGGCCCCUAAAACCGGUUCAGUGACUAAGGAUGUACGAUUGCUAAAACAGCUAGGAUGUUGGCUUAGAGGCAGCCAUCAUUUAAACAGUGCGUAACAGCUGACUAGUCGAGCGAUUGUGCGCCGAAAAUGAUCGGGACUAAACCGGUUGCCGAAGCUGCGGAUUUCUCCCGCCUGCGGGUGGGAGAAGUGGUAGAGGAGCGUUGUAUCAGCAUUGAAGCGUUCGGGUGACCGGGCGUGGAGCGGAUACAAGUGAUUAUGCGGACAUGAGUAACGAAUAGCCGGGCGAGAAUCCCGGCCGCCGUAAUCCCAAGAUUUCCUGGGGAAGGUUCGUCCGCCCAGGGUUAGUCGGCCCCUAAGUCCAGGCCAUUCAGGCGUAGGCGAUGGGAAGCAGGUUCAAUAUUCCUGCACCGCCGAUGGGCGAUUAAGACGCGAUGGAGUACUCGGAAAGUUAGAUCAGCCGUCGAUUGGAAGUGACGGUUCAAGCCCGUAGGGGUGUGGCCAGGCAAAUCCGGCCGCGCAACCUGAAAGGUGAUGAGACGUGGAGGCUUCGGCCGAAGCGGAUUGAUUGACACUCGGCCGACAAGAAAAGCUUCUAGCGAGCCCAUAGGCGACCGUAUCGGAAACCGACACAGGUGGGAGGGUAGAAUAUACCAAGGCGCGCGAGAGAAACCUCGUUAAGGAACUCGGCAAUCUAGCCCCGUAACUUCGGAAGAAGGGGUCCUGCAGACCGUCAGUUUAACUACGAAGCGGACCGCAGGCGCAGUGAAAGGGCCCAGGCGACUGUUUAUCAAAAACACAGCACUAUGCCAACUCGCAAGAGGAUGUAUAUGGUGUGACACGUGACCAAUGCCGUAAGGUUAAGGCAAGGGGUUAGCCGCAAGGCGAAGCUCUGAACCGAAGCCCCGGUGAAUGUCGGCCGUAACUAUAACGGUCCUAAGGUAGCGAAAUUCCUUGUCGGGUAAGUUCCGACCUGCACGAAUCGUGUAACGAUCUGGGCGCUGUCUCAACGAGGAUCUCGGUGAAGUUGUAAUUCCGGUGAAAAUGCCGGAUACCCGCAGUAGGACGGUAAGACCCUGUGAACCUUUACUGUAAUCUGAUAUUGGGUUUUGGUUGGUUAUAUGUAGCAUAGCUGGGAGGCUGUGAAGCGAUCUCGUCAGGGACCGCGGAGCCGUCAGUGAAAUACCAGUUUUAAUUAACCGGAAUUCUAACCGCGAGCCGUGCAACCGGCUCCGGGACCGUGUCAGAGGGUCAGUUUGACUGGGGCGGUUUCCUCCCAAAAGAUAACGGAGGAGUUCUAAGGUCACCUCAGCAUGGUCGGCAAUCAUGCGUAGAGCGUAUAGGUAGAAGGUGGCUUGACUGCGAGACCCACAAGUCGAGCAGGUGCGAAAGCAGGACUAAGUGAUCCGGCGGUUGCUAGUGGUAGCGCCGUCGCUCAACGGACAAAAGGUACUCCGGGGAUAACAGGCUUAUCGCCGCCAAGAGUCCAUAUCGACGCGGCGGUUUGGCACCUCGAUGUCGGCUCAUCACAUCCUGGGGCUGAAGAAGGUCCCAAGGGUUUGGCUGUUCGCCAAUUAAAGUGGUACGCGAGCUGGGUUCAAAACGUCGUGAGACAGUUUGGUCCAUAUCCACUGUGGGCGUUGGAGAUUUGAGGAGAACAUUCCUUAGUACGAGAGGACCGGGAAUGACGCACCUCUGGUGUUUCGGUUGUCGCGCCAGCGGCAUCGCCGAGUAGCUAUGUGCGGAAUGGAUAAGCUCUGAAUGCAUCUAAGAGCCAAGCCGACUUCAAGAUUGGAUCUCCCUUGCUGGUUCGCCAGCACUAAAGGCCGGUUGAAGACUACGACCUUGAUAGGGCGGGUGUGUACGUGCUGCGAGGCAUUUAGCUAACCGCUACUAAUCAGCCGUGAGGCUUGACCAU